rnacentral:lncRNA from 1 species
GCGGUGGAAAGUUUUAUGUUCAGCCAGCAGAUCAGAAAGUGGCAUCCAUUCAGCAGCAGCUUGCUUCUUUGACACUCCAGGAGGCUCCUUUGAUCGGUGCUUUCAAUCCAAAGAAAGGCGACCUUGUCCUUGCACAGUUUAGUGCGGAUAAUUCCUGGAACCGAGCAAUGGUGAGAGUGACAUCAUAAUACCACACUUUUUGCUCCUUUUUCUUUCCUUUAUCUGCAUGCAUAGUGCAAAAUUAUAUCUUUGUUAUUUCUAUGAUGACUUUCUAAAAUUUUCCUGUUAUCCAAUACCUGAAGAUUGUGAAUGCCCCUCGAGGUGUCGUUGAAUCUCCAAAAGACAAAUUUGAAGUGUUUUACAUUGACUAUGGAAAUCAAGAAAUGGUUUCUUUCAGCCAAUUGCGACCUGUUGAUUCUUCCGUGUCUUCGUCACCUGGCCUUGCGCAACUGUGCUGUCUUGCUUAUGUAAAGGUUCCAAGUUUGGAGGAGGAUUAUGGGCAGGAAGCAGCUUUUAGUCUGAGCGAGCACACACUUAGUGGGCCAAAAGAGUUUAAGGCUGUUGUUGUAGAGAGGGAUGCGUCUGGCGGAAAAGUCAAAGGACAAGGAACUGGUACUGUCCUUAUGGUAACUUUGAUUGAUGAGGAGGCUAAUGAAAGCAUAAAUUCCCGCAUGUUGAAGGUAUGUUUUUAUCUCCUGUGGCUAAUUAAGAAUACAAACAUGUAAACUUUUUCUUGUGAAAUCCCUAUCCAUGGGAUUUUCAAUGUGCUUACCUUCUUACAAACUUGUUUCAAAAUUAUAUAUGGAUAGUCAACUGAUAUUUUUACUUUUUACAAUGUAUUUACUCUGGGGGUUUUCCAUUCCACAGCUAAAUUAUUAAGCUAUGGCAUCUCUUCUACUUUGUAUUGCAUAUUGUAAGGGAAGACCUCCCUUCUGUAUGUGGACAUUCUCUUCCAAUAAUUGACAUGUAACAUUUUGCAGGAAGGACUUGCUAGGUUGGAGAAGCGGAGGAGAUGGGAGCCGGUCGAAAGAAAACAGGUGAUUGACGAAUUAGAAAAAGACCAAGAAGAAGCUCGUACUAAGAGGCUGGGCAUGUGGGAGUAUGGAGAUAUAAUGUCAGAUGACGAGGACAGUGCUCCAGUAAAGAAACCCAGUGGUGGCAGGAGGUGAAUACAUGGUUUUCUAGUAACCUAAAUAAUUUAGGUGAGAACAACAUAGGAUGAAAAGUGCUACAAGAAANAAGGAUGGCGAGGCUCCACCUAGUGCAGGCAGUCAGCCGACAGGGAUUAAUAUUGCUGAGUUAAUUAUUUCUCGCGGUUUUGGUGAAGUCAUUAAACAUCGUGAUCUUGAGGUAAGAUCAAAUUACUAUGAUUCCCUUCUUGCUGCCGAAUCGCGUGCCAAAGCUGGGAGGAAAGGGAUGUAUUCCGGCAAGGAUGCUCCAGUGAUGCACGUCAAUGACUUUAUAACGGUAAUAAUAAGACAUAAUCCAUUAUUAAUGCUUGGAAUGAUUCAUAUUAUUAACUUUCCACAAUAAAAUCUAUUGCAGGCUUCAUCUAAAAAAGCGAAAGAUUUCUUGCCAUUUUUGCAACGGAAUAGAAGGAUGACAGCUGUUGUGGAAUAUGUGUUUAGCGGUCACCGAUUUAAAUUAUAUAUUCCAAAGGAAACUUGCAGCAUCGCUUUCUCGAUCUCAGGAGUGAGAUGCCCAGGACGAGAUGAGCCUUAUUCCAGUGAAGCGAUUGCACUAAUGAGAAGGAAAAUCAUGCAGAGGGAUGUUGAGGUAGUGCAUAAUGUUUUUAUGAUUAUUUAUGUCCUAGUUAAUGUUCAUAAAUUCUCUUUAUAGUCUUUGAAUAAAUGCUUUCUCUUUUGCAGAUUGAAGUAGAAACUGUUGACAGAACAGGUACUUUUUUGGGAUCUUUGUGGGAGUCAAGAUCCAAUGUCGCAUUGAUACUACUCGAAGCUGGUUUGGCCAGGCUUCAAACCUCUUUUGGUACAGAUAGGAUACCUGAUAUCCACCUGCUUGUGCAGGCUGAGCAGUCUGCUAAGAAGCAGAAAUUGAAGGUGAGAUUGAGAAUUGUUAUCCUAGCACAACUAUCCCACUUUCUAAUGUUUCUUAUAGUUUCUUUUUCUUCUUGUUGAAGAUUUGGGAGAACUAUGUUGAAGGAGAAGAAGUUUCUAAUGGCCCAACUUCUGAAAGAAAGAAAGAAGAAUUUAAGGUAUAAAUUUAAUAUUUGAUCAAUUCAGCUAAGUACUUGUCAGAUGAUCAAUAAAGUUGUGACAUAGUUUACUUGUAUAUACUCUCAGGUAGUGGUUACUGAAGUCCUUGGCGGUGGAAAGUUUUAUGUUCAGCCAGCAGAUCAGAAAGUGGCAUCCAUUCAGCAGCAGCUUGCUUCUUUGACACUCCAGGAGGCUCCUUUGAUCGGUGCUUUCAAUCCAAAGAAAGGCGACCUUGUCCUUGCACAGUUUAGUGCGGAUAAUUCCUGGAACCGAGCAAUGGUGAGAGUGACAUCAUAAUACCACACUUUUUGCUCCUUUUUCUUUCCUUUAUCUGCAUGCAUAGUGCAAAAUUAUAUCUUUGUUAUUUCUAUGAUGACUUUCUAAAAUUUUCCUGUUAUCCAAUACCUGAAGAUUGUGAAUGCCCCUCGAGGUGUCGUUGAAUCUCCAAAAGACAAAUUUGAAGUGUUUUACAUUGACUAUGGAAAUCAAGAAAUGGUUUCUUUCAGCCAAUUGCGACCUGUUGAUUCUUCCGUGUCUUCGUCACCUGGCCUUGCGCAACUGUGCUGUCUUGCUUAUGUAAAGGUUCCAAGUUUGGAGGAGGAUUAUGGGCAGGAAGCAGCUUUUAGUCUGAGCGAGCACACACUUAGUGGGCCAAAAGAGUUUAAGGCUGUUGUUGUAGAGAGGGAUGCGUCUGGCGG